CCUUUAAUAAGGGAAAAAAUAGAGAGAAGGGAUCCUGCAAAAAAUUUAUUAUUUUUUUUUAUUAUUAUUUUUUGCAGGAUCCCUUCUCUCUAUUUUUUCCCUUUUAAUAUAGA